rnacentral:rRNA from 1 species
AUGAACGCUGGCGGCGUGCCUAAUACAUGCAAGUCGAGCGAACAGACGAGGAGCUUGCUCCUCUGACGUUAGCGGCGGACGGGUGAGUAACACGUGGAUAACCUACCUAUAAGACUGGGAUAACUUCGGGAAACCGGAGCUAAUACCGGAUAAAAUAUUGAACCGCAUGGUUCAAUAGUGAAAGACGGUUUUGCUGUCACUUAUAGAUGGAUCCGCGCCGCAUUAGCUAGUUGGUAAGGUAACGGCUUACCAAGGCAACGAUGCGUAGCCGACCUGAGAGGGUGAUCGGCCACACUGGAACUGAGACACGGUCCAGACUCCUACGGGAGGCAGCAGUAGGGAAUCUUCCGCAAUGGGCGAAAGCCUGACGGAGCAACGCCGCGUGAGUGAUGAAGGUCUUCGGAUCGUAAAACUCUGUUAUUAGGGAAGAACAAAUGUGUAAGUAACUAUGCACGUCUUGACGGUACCUAAUCAGAAAGCCACGGCUAACUACGUG